GAUCUCUCUAUUGCACUAGAUCUCCGCCACGUGGCGAGGAUAAAGGGUGGAGAUGGCGAAAAGCCCAAAAGCUAGAAUCCACUUACCUCGAUUGCACGAAGGCCCAAAUGACUCCGGCGGCUAGGAGUUGGCGCCUAGAGAUCCUCCACGAAUUCCUUGGCUUUUUCCCCAAUUGUGAUCUAAUCUUUGCACGAUUCUUGGAGCUGCUCGUGUGGAGCCGGAAAUAAUGCAGCGGUCCCCAAAUUUACGUAGACGAUCGUUAUUAGAAAAAACUCAGAUGUAGAGGAGAAGAAGAAGACAAUAUGGCGGAGGAUAACGGCGUCCUUUCUUCCAAGAUUAAGAUCGGAGUGUCCGUCAUGGAAAAAAAGGUGCUUUCGGCUCCCAUGCGUCAAAUUUUGGAGAGAUUGGAAGCGUUUGGUGAAUUUGAGAUAAUUACCUUCGGCGGCAAAAUGAUUCUCAAGCAACCAGUGGAAAGGUUGCUUGGCUGAAUAUCUAUGAUGACAGUAUGAUGAUGUCGCGGUUGACCGUGAGCCUGAUCUCUCGCACUGCAGUCCACCUGCCGAAGAACAGCAGCAAGGCGGAGGGUAGAAAGUUGUAAUUAACAUCUUGGAAUUUGGAAAUGCUAUCCACUUCUUAUAUACAAGAAGGGCUACAUUUACAAAGCCUGUGGGCCGUUGGAAGCCACCACCAAAUGUCUCAAGUUGUCCCUCUCCCGAUGCCUCUUGCACUUCCCCUUGUUAGACCACCACCUUCGUUAAUUGCUGCGAUGAAGGUGUAUGGUUCGAUGUGGCCGCUGUUGAUGGGGUCGGUGUCUCGAAGUUGAUGUCCGCUAGUGAGGUUCAAGUCAUUGUCAAUUCCUCGUUGCCGCUGGUGGUUGAUGGCACAAUGAUCUACUUCAAUGGUUACUUUCUGCCUCUCCUUGCAGUUCAGGGGAUUGCUGGUGUUCGAAAGAUCAAAGACAACUACAACCCAGCAACAUGGAUGUUGGAAGUUACUACUAUUUCAAUCGAAAGGCAGCUUAACAUAGACUUUGCUGAACUUUACAAGGGAGUCAUCUCUCUAUCGGAGAAACAAUGAACUAGUUAAACAAUUGAGUACACCAUCUCCGGGUUCAAAGGACUUAAGUUUCCAAACCGUAUUCCCACAGAAUGACUGGGGACAGUUCAAGGCCUGCCUCUGGAAGCAGUAUCUGUCAUACUGGAGAAAUCCUUCCUACAACUUGUCUCGUAUUGCAUUCGUACUUAUCACUUCUUUCCUUUUUCAGAAAAUCGAUACACAGCAGAAUCUGUUCACCAUACUGGGGUUGUUGUUCUCCGGAACUAUCUUCUUAGCGAUUAACAGCUGCAUGACAAUUCAUUCUAUGGUAGAAACUGAGCGGAUAGUCAUGUAUCGGGAAAGAUUUGCCGGAAUGUACUCUGCACGUGCUUAUUCACUGGCACAGAUGUAAAUACAGUAGACGUAGCUAUUGCCUCAUCCAACUAGUCAGGAACAGGCUGUCAGUCAUAGAUAAAGGAUUCAAGGUACAUAAUUUUAUCAGAUCCAAUUGCUCGAUAUAAUUGAUGCACGUGCACUUGCACAUUUUUCUUCAUGAUGCACAUGCAUAUGCACAUUUUUCUUCAUGCAAAUUAAUUUUUUUUCUAC